GACGAACGCUGGCGGCGUGCUUAACACAUGCAAGUCGAACGGAAAGGCCUGCUUUCCCUUGUGGAUUGCGGGUACUCGAGUGGCGAACGGGUGAGUAACACGUGAGUGAUCUGCCCCCAACUUGGGUAUAAGCCUGGGAAACUGGGUCUAAUUCCCGAUAGGACUGCAGGGUGGUGCCUGUGGUGGAAAACGAUUUUCUAGUGGUUGGGGAUGAGCUCGCGGCCUAUCAGCUUGUUGGUGGGGUAAUGGCCUACCAAGGCGGCGACGGGUAGCCGGCCUGGGAGGGUGGACGGCCACGUUGGGACUGAGAUACGGCCCAGACUCCUACGGGAGGCAGCAGUGGGGAAUAUGGCACAAUGGGCGGAAGCCUGAUGCAGCGACGCCGCGUGGGGGAUGACGGCCUUCGGGUUGUAAACUCCUUUCGACCGCGAGGAAGCCACCUGGUUGGAAGGGUGGUGACGGUAGUGGUAGAAGAAGCACCGGCUAACUACGUG
rnacentral:rRNA from 1 species